CUGGAAGCCAUCCAUGCGGCACUUUCCUUCCAGGGCCCUGAUGUGUGACAGUUUCCUGCGUGAGACUUCCCUUCUUACUUGGCACUUGGAUUUUAAAAUGACUCAGUGAUUAAUGCUUCAGAGCUGCACGUGAUAAUUGUCUUGGCAGAAGGCGAUGUCUUUGUUCUUAGUCACACACCUUUUGUGUGGUGUUUCCCACUCUGGCUCCCUUAUUUAUGACCUGUUGGCAUGCAUCUAUAUUUAGCAAGUAAAUUGCUGAUAUCUAACGAGUCAUCAAAGCAGUCAUCUUGGACUCUGAAACCAAAGCCAUAUAAAGUCAGGUCCGUAGCCACUGAUGUCUUCUCGUCAGAGGCUGCUGAGAAUAAGAAAAUGUUCGAAGACAUCUCCCACAGAGCUCUCUGGUCUAGUUCCUGUAUCAUUCCCAUUCAUCCUUAAAAGCAGAAAGUAUUUACUCGAUGUUUGGCCUGGGCUUUCAGCCGUGGGAAAAAAAUUCACCUUUGAGUGCCCAUAUUAAAAGCCAAAACCAAGUAGACAUGGGUGAGAAUUCUCAAGCAGACUCCUAAGAUCUUUCAAAACUCCUCAGAGGAUUAAAAACCGAGCCCUAGAAACAGGUAAGAGAGGGAUGGAAUCUGAAGUGCUCUAUUCUAGUCUUUGUGUGUAUGGGGAUAUGGGGGCAUCAAGAUAGGGUUUCUCUGUGUAGCUAUGGCGGUUCUGGAACUCACUCUGAAGACCAGGCUGGCCUUGAACUCAGAGGUCCUCCUGCAUCUGCCUCCACAGUGCUAGGAUUAAAGGCCUGCAAUGCCGCCACCACCACCACCACCGUCACCACCAUUACCCAAUGGCCUGUUCCACUCUUCAACAUUCCCACUCCCACCAGUGCUCAAACACUCUUGUGGCCGAAUCAGGGAAUGGAUGCACUGGUUUAAGAAGUGGAAGACGGACGUCGCUGUAACAAUUAUUGAGAAAAAAAAACUUUAGUUGCUAUCUUCUACGAUUCAUCCAGACAUAUUCCUGUGAGAGCUUUGGAAUGAUUGACAUUUUCUAAAGAUAACUUUAUCAAACGAGAUUACCAAAAUCUUGACAGAUAUAGCACUAGUGACUAAUUUUCAAAAUGAUGGACAUGGCAUUAGAGAGAUGACUCAGCAGUUAACAGCAUAUAUGACUCUUCAAAGUACCAGAGCUUGGUUUCCAGUACCCACAUUUGGUGGCUUCAGCCUCAGGAAGCCCAACACCUCCAAGAAUACCUGAAAUCACAUGUGCUUAACCCAACGCUAUACAGAAACAUACAAGCAGAAAUAAUAAAAAC
rnacentral:lncRNA from 1 species